GACGAACCGUGCGAACGUUAUUCGGAAUCACUGGGCUUAAAGCGCGUGUAGGCGGCCCGGCACGUCCGUCGCUGAAAUCCCCCGGCUCAACCGGGGAAGGGGCGCGGAUACGACCGGGCUGGAGGGGGGUAGGGGGAUCGGGAACUUCCGGUGGAGCGGUGAAAUGCGUUGAGAUCGGAAGGAACGCCCGCGGCGAAAGCGCGGUCCUGGACCCCACCUGACGCGUGAGACGCGAAAGCCAGGGGAGCGAACGGG
rnacentral:rRNA from 1 species